ACAUACCACCCGCGACCAGGACCAUCCCAAUUCUCUUAUCCCUUAUUUCCUUUUCUUCAAACCAAGGGAAAACCAAAAACAGCAGUGGACGUGUACAAGCAGAAGAAAAAAUCCCACAUCACAACUUUAUCAACCCAUCCCGAACCAACCCGUAACCUGCCAUCCUUAGCCCUCACCAUGCGUCCCACGCAAACUCAUUUGUGAAAGCCUAGAAGCUUCCAAAAAUUGGUGAGUUGGCUUCUCCAACGAAUCAAUUCUGCAAAUCUCAGGUACCAUGGUACGAAUUCGUACCUAUCUGGUAGAUUUUCAUUGGUUUGGGGUACAUUUUGAUUUUCCCAAUUUGUUAUUGGUCCACCCAUUUUGAUUUGAGAAGAAAAAUUCAAAAUGGAGUACCAUUUUUGCAGAUGAAAACCAAACCAAAAUAAAAGGGGAAUGGAAAUUUUGAAUUUCAAAAUCUCCUUCAAAAAUCCCCAAUUUACCCCCCAAUUCAUCUUCUAUAUAAAGACCCUUGGGGUCACAGUUUAGGGGGUUGGAAAAAUUGAAGGCUGGUGGAGGGUUAGAAAAGUUAGGGUUUGAAAAUUGUUUGAAGAAAUUAGGUCGAGAAUUUUUCUUUUGGUUUUGAGAGUUUUUGUUCUAGGGUUUUAAAUUGGGGAAUUUUUCCUUUUCUUUUCCUCCUAGGUUCUCUGUGAGGAGUUCUCCUAAAAGCUGGAAAGGGAGAAAAUUUCAGGGCUUGAAGGAGGAGGGUUCAAAACUUCUAGGGUGUAGAAAUCUAAGGAGAGAAGAAUUUUAGUCACUAUUUAGGGGAUCUUCUUGAUUCUUUUCUUUCUCUUCUGGAAUUAGAAAUUCUUUGGGAAAAAUUCUAAGUGGUGGUAGUUGCAAUCUUGACAAAAUUUCGAGUCGUGUUUGCUGCCACGAAAUAGGUAACUCCCCGUUCCAUCGAAUUUCGUUCAUUUCUCCUUCAUCUCAAUCUUCUGUAGUUAUAAGUUUUAUAACGAUAUUGCUUGUUAGGUUGCCUAUUGUUAGAAGUUUUGAAGACUGUAGGUUGUUGGCUUAACGAAAAAAAAAUAUUAUUGAUUGAUUUUUGAUCGAAUACUCUCAUGUUUGUGUAACAACUUAAGGUUUGUGCAGCUGACCUCGUUAAAGUGUCGUGAAUUAAUAGUCUUCAGGUUGAUAAUAUGUGGUUUUAGAUGACUUUAUGUCAAAUUUCAUGUUUUGAUCAUUUUCAUUUUCGGAUUGGUGGUAUUCGGUUGUAGCUGACUUUACAGUAAAGUUGCAUGUUUUGACGAUUUUUGGGCUGAAGGUAUAUUGUUAUAGUUGAUUCCUAUGUUAAAGUUUGGUGUUUGGUUAGUUUCAUUUCAACGGUGCCUUGGUUUUGUAGUUGAGGAUUUUUGCUUUGAUCUUAUUCAAUAGUUCGAACCAAGGGUGUUUUGUGCGUAUUUGACUUCAUCAUGUUUGUCGUCAUUAGUUGAUGUUGUUGAACUAGUAGUGUCAUUAAUCGGACUUCCUCUUGAGUCUUUGGCUUCUCUUAUGACAAAGAACACGAGGAUAUGUCUGAUAAAAGUAGUGAAUCCCAUGAUUCCUCGAUGAUCGUUUUGACUGUUAAAACUCAUUUUGAUUUUGUCAAAAGAGGAUGAGGUUGAUAUUUGUGCCCAUCUAUCUCCCUUUUGGCUUUAUUUUUUCUCUUGAACUCGUUGCCAAUAUGUGGUCGGGAUAGGGAGAUGGAUGCGCUAGUUGCGAAUUUGGAGUAAGUCUUUUUAAAGAAAAUAGUCUAAUUUUGUUUUCUUUACAUGAACGGAGUGUCACAGUUUUUGGUUUCUUUGAAUAUCUGCUGAUUGGAUGAAAUUUAUGUUUAUACGUCCACCUCGCUUAUUUUCGUGUUCACUCUGUCUCUUGACUAGGAUGGGGGGGAAGGCUAUGUUUAUUCACGCAAUCCCCGAAACAACUAGCAAAUCAUUUUCUCUUCAUCUCUACUAACUUGAGAGUCUCAUAUAGUGUGGUAUAGGUUGGUUUAUUUGAAGUGCAUGACUGCAUUUCGAUUUUAGUGUUGGAAAUUAAUAGUGUUCUUGAUUUAAGUGAAACCCUCUUUGCUUUUGUUGAUUAGAUUGUCCUGUAUACACUGUACAACAUACAAGAAAAGAGGUGAAACAAAUUUAUCUUGGUUCAUCUGGAGCAUAAAUUUAAGUAUCUAUUUUUGGGAAUUAUCUUCAACUCUUCAAUUUUGUAUUCCAGUUGAAUGGUUUGAUAGCCAACUGAUACAAUUUUCUUAGUUUCUGUGUAUUCCUUCUCAUAAGUAAGCACCGGAACCUAUCAUUUUGUCAGAAGGAAUGGAUUGUGAUUUACUAUUAAUGUACGGUCCUUUAACAAAUAUUAUAGCAUCCCUCUACUACAACAAAAAAAACCAACAUUACGUCCUAUGGUUUCAUCUAAUGGUCAUCACAUGCGAUUAGGAAAAGUGAACUUUUACUAGAAUUCUUUCAUGCAUAUGCAUACUUUUAUGCCAAAGUCCAGCAUAAUAUGGUGUGUUCUCUUUGAUCUCUAUGUCAUGUCGCAUAUAUCACUAAUCUAGUAGCUAAGUUUCCUUUUAUGUAUCGAAAUAGUGAUUUUUUUUAGCAGCUUUGAACUUUCUGAAUUUUUUUUGUUAUAAAAGUAAUUCAUUUUUAUGAACGCGUAUUAAUUCAUAUAUCUUUUCUUUGCAUGCACCUCCCUUGGAGCCCAAAUGGGCUUCUCUCUUUGCAUUUCAUAAAUGGGCUAAUGAGGCCUAUCCUUCCGAGUCAAGCCCGGAUGAAUGCCCAAAGUUGAGCACGUGGCAUAUGGAUACGAGAAGUCGAAAGAGGAAUAAUGGAUUAAAAUCCCAUCUUUGAAGUGGCCAAGAUUUGUGCAGUUUCACUAAAACAUUCCUGUCUUGGUGUAGGAGCAUGUAAACUAUGAGCGAAUUGACUCUGUAGGCUUAAGACUCAAAAGACCAGCAUAUCUAAAUAUCAAGUCAAAGCACCUUCUGGAUUAACAAAAAUUUAUUUUUGAA